rnacentral:rRNA from 1 species
UACGAGGGGGGCAAGCGUUGUUCGGAAUUAUUGGGCGUAAAGGGCGCGUAGGCGGUUUGACAAGUCUGAUGUGAAAUCUCUGGGCUCAACCCAGAGUCUGCAUUAGAAACUGUCGGGCUUGAGUAUGGGAGAGGUGAGUGGAAUCUCCGGUGUAGCGGUGAAAUGCGUAGAUAUCGGAAGGAACACCUGUGGCGAAAGCGGCUCACUGGACCAUAACUGACGCUGAGGCGCGAAAGCUAGGGGGGCAAACAGG